rnacentral:rRNA from 1 species
GGUUAAGCGACUAAGCGUACACGGUGGAUGCCCUGGCAGUCAGAGGCGAUGAAGGACGUGCUAAUCUGCGAAAAGCGUCGGUAAGGUGAUAUGAACCGUUAUAACCGGCGAUGUCCGAAUGGGGAAACCCAGUGCAAUUCGUUGCACUAUCGUUAACUGAAUACAUAGGUUAACGAGGCGAACCGGGGGAACUGAAACAUCUAAGUACCCCGAGGAAAAGAAAUCAACCGAGAUUCCCCCAGUAGCGGCGAGCGAACGGGGAGCAGCCCAGAGUCUGAAUCAGCUUGUGUGUUAGUGGAACGGUCUGGAAAGUCCGACGGUACAGGGUGAUAGUCCCGUACACCAAAAUGCACAGGCUGUGAACUCGAAGAGUAGGGCGGGACACGUGGUAUCCUGUCUGAAUAUGGGGGGACCAUCCUCCAAGGCUAAAUACUCCUGACUGACCGAUAGUGAACCAGUACCGUGAGGGAAAGGCGAAAAGAACCCCGGCGAGGGGAGUGAAAAAGAACCUGAAACCGUGUACGUACAAGCAGUGGGAGCACCUUCGGGUGUGACUGCGUACCUUUUGUAUAAUGGGUCAGCGACUUAUAUUCUGUAGCAAGGUUAACCGUAUAGGGGAGCCGCAGGGAAACCGAGUCUUAACUGGGCGUUAAGUUGCAGGGUAUAGACCCGAAACCCGGUGAUCUAGCCAUGGGCAGGUUGAAGGUUGGGUAACACUAACUGGAGGACCGAACCGACUAAUGUUGAAAAAUUAGCGGAUGACUUGUGGCUGGGGGUGAAAGGCCAAUCAAACCGGGAGAUAGCUGGUUCUCCCCGAAAGCUAUUUAGGUAGCGCCUCGUGAAUUCAUCUUCGGGGGUAGAGCACUGUUUCGGCUAGGGGGUCAUCCCGACUUACCAACCCGAUGCAAACUACGAAUACCGAAGAAUGUUAUCACGGGAGACACACGGCGGGUGCUAACGUCCGUCGUGAAGAGGGAAACAACCCAGACCGCCAGCUAAGGUCCCAAAGUCAUGGUUAAGUGGGAAACGAUGUGGGAAGGCACAGACAGCCAGGAUGUUGGCUUAGAAGCAGCCAUCAUUUAAAGAAAGCGUAAUAGCUCACUGGUCGAGUCGGCCUGCGCGGAAGAUGUAACGGGGCUAAACCAUGCACCGAAGCUGCGGCAGCGACACUAUGUGUUGUUGGGUAGGGGAGCGUUCUGUAAGCCUGCGAAGGUGACCUGUGAGGGUUGCUGGAGGUAUCAGAAGUGCGAAUGCUGACAUAAGUAACGAUAAAGCGGGUGAAAAGCCCGCUCGCCGGAAGACCAAGGGUUCCUGUCCAACGUUAAUCGGGGCAGGGUGAGUCGACCCCUAAGGCGAGGCCGAAAGGCGUAGUCGAUGGGAAACAGGUUAAUAUUCCUGUACUUGGUGUUACUGCGAAGGGGGGACGGAGAAGGCUAUGUUAGCCGGGCGACGGUUGUCCCGGUUUAAGCAUGUAGGCUGGUUGUCCAGGCAAAUCCGGAUAAUCAAGGCUGAGGUGUGAUGACGAGGCACUACGGUGCUGAAGUAACAAAUGCCCUGCUUCCAGGAAAAGCCUCUAAGCAUCAGGUAACAUUAAAUCGUACCCCAAACCGACACAGGUGGUCAGGUAGAGAAUACCAAGGCGCUUGAGAGAACUCGGGUGAAGGAACUAGGCAAAAUGGUGCCGUAACUUCGGGAGAAGGCACGCUGGUGUGUAGGUGAAGUCCCUGCGGAUGGAGCUGAGACCAGUCGAAGAUACCAGCUGGCUGCAACUGUUUAUUAAAAACACAGCACUGUGCAAACACGAAAGUGGACGUAUACGGUGUGACGCCUGCCCGGUGCCGGAAGGUUAAUUGAUGGGGUUAUCCGUAAGGAGAAGCUCUUGAUCGAAGCCCCGGUAAACGGCGGCCGUAACUAUAACGGUCCUAAGGUAGCGAAAUUCCUUGUCGGGUAAGUUCCGACCUGCACGAAUGGCGUAAUGAUGGCCAGGCUGUCUCCACCCGAGACUCAGUGAAAUUGAACUCGCUGUGAAGAUGCAGUGUACCCGCGGCAAGACGGAAAGACCCCGUGAACCUUUACUAUAGCUUGACACUGAACAUUGAGCCUUGAUGUGUAGGAUAGGUGGGAGGCUUUGAAGCGUGGACGCCAGUCUGCGUGGAGCCAACCUUGAAAUACCACCCUUUAAUGUUUGAUGUUCUAACGUUGGCCCCUGACCGGGGUUGCGGACAGUGUCUGGUGGGUAGUUUGACUGGGGCGGUCUCCUCCCAAAGCGUAACGGAGGAGCACGAAGGUUAGCUAAUCCUGGUCGGACAUCAGGAGGUUAGUGCAAUGGCAUAAGCUAGCUUGACUGCGAGCGUGACGGCGCGAGCAGGUGCGAAAGCAGGUCAUAGUGAUCCGGUGGUUCUGAAUGGAAGGGCCAUCGCUCAACGGAUAAAAGGUACUCCGGGGAUAACAGGCUGAUACCGCCCAAGAGUUCAUAUCGACGGCGGUGUUUGGCACCUCGAUGUCGGCUCAUCACAUCCUGGGGCUGAAGUAGGUCCCAAGGGUAUGGCUGUUCGCCAUUUAAAGUGGUACGCGAGCUGGGUUUAGAACGUCGUGAGACAGUUCGGUCCCUAUCUGCCGUGGGCGCUGGAGAAUUGAGGGGGGCUGCUCCUAGUACGAGAGGACCGGAGUGGACGCAUCACUGGUGUUCGGGUUGUCAUGCCAAUGGCACUGCCCGGUAGCUAAAUGCGGAAGAGAUAAGUGCUGAAAGCAUCUAAGCACGAAACUUGCCCCGAGAUGAGUUCUCCCUGAGACUUUAAGUCUCCUGAAGGAACGUUGAAGACGACGACGUUGAUAGGCCGGGUGUGUAAGCGCAGCGAUGCGUUGAGCUAACCGGUACUAAUGAACCGUGAGGCUUAACCUU